rnacentral:rRNA from 1 species
UACAGAGGUCUCAAGCGUUGUUCGGAUUCAUUGGGCGUAAAGGGUGCGUAGGCGGCGUCGUAAGUCGGGUGUGAAAUCUCGGGGCUUAACUCCGAAAUUGCAUCGAUACUGCGGCGCUUGAGGACUGGAGAGGAGACUGGAAUUCACGGUGUAGCAGUGAAAUGCGUAGAUAUCGUGAGGAAGACCGGUGGCGAAGGCGGGUCUCUGGGCAGUAACUGACGCUGGAGGAGCGAAAGCGUGGGGAGCGAACAGG